rnacentral:rRNA from 1 species
AACGAACGCUGGCGGCAGGCUUAACGCAUGCAAGUCGAGCGCCCCGCAAGGGGAGCGGCAGACGGGUGAGUAACGCGUGGGAACGUACCCUUAUCUUCGGAAUAGCUCCGGGAAACUGGAAUUAAUACCGAAUGUGCCCUUAGGGGGAAAGAUUUAUCGGAUAAGGAUCGGCCCGCGUUGGAUUAGCUAGUUGGUGGGGUAAAGGCCUACCAAGGCGACGAUCCAUAGCUGGUCUGAGAGGAUGAUCAGCCACAUUGGGACUGAGACACGGCCCAAACUCCUACGGGAGGCAGCAGUGGGGAAUAUUGGACAAUGGGCGCAAGCCUGAUCCAGCCAUGCCGCGUGAGUGAUGAAGGCCCUAGGGUUGUAAAGCUCUUUCAGUAGGGAAGAUAAUGACGGUACCUACAGAAGAAGCCCCGGCUAACUUCGUGCCAGCCGCCGCUGUAAAAC